rnacentral:rRNA from 1 species
AGUGAACGCUGGCGGUAGGCCUAACACAUGCAAGUCGAACGGCAGCACAGUAAGAGCUUGCUCUUACGGGUGGCGAGUGGCGGACGGGUGAGGAAUACAUCGGAAUCUACUUUUUCGUGGGGGAUAACGUAGGGAAACUUACGCUAAUACCGCAUACGACCUACGGGUGAAAGCAGGGGAUCUUCGGACCUUGCGCGAUUGAAUGAGCCGAUGUCGGAUUAGCUAGUUGGCGGGGUAAAGGCCCACCAAGGCGACGAUCCGUAGCUGGUCUGAGAGGAUGAUCAGCCACACUGGAACUGAGACACGGUCCAGACUCCUACGGGAGGCAGCAGUGGGGAAUAUUGGACAAUGGGCGCAAGCCUGAUCCAGCCAUGCCGCGUGGGUGAAGAAGGCCUUCGGGUUGUAAAGCCCUUUUGUUGGGAAAGAAAAGCAGCAGGUUAAUACCCCGCCGUUCUGACGGUACCCAAAGAAUAAGCACCGGCUAACUUCGUG